AUGUAUGUGAGAUGUAUUGAACCUGAGACUUGGAGCAUACAAGUGAAGUGAAAAGUAAGGCCUAAAUAGGCUCCAAAACAGUCCACAAACUACACUUCAAGGGUUCCCAAAGUGAAGGAUUUGACUAAGGGGCCUUUUGGACAUUUCACACUAUUUUUGUAACCUACUAUAAAUAGAACAUUUUAGGUCAUUUAGUCUUAGAUUAUUCAUUAUAUUUGUAAGUCUUAUAUGACUUUUGAA
rnacentral:lncRNA from 1 species